ACGCGUAUGGAACCUACCUAAAACAGGAGGAUAGCCUUCGGAAACGGGGAUUAAUACUCCAUAUUAUUUAUCAAUGGCCUCAUUGAUAGAUAAAAGCUACGGCGGUUUUAGAUGGCCAUGCGUACCAUUAGUUAGUUGGUAAGGUAACGGCUUACCAAGGCGAUGAUGGUUAGGGGUCCUGAGAGGGUAAACCCCCACACUGGUACUGAGCCAAGAUCAAAAAUUAUNNGGNAGGCAGCNGUGAGGAAUAUUGGUCAAUGGGCGCAAGCCUGAACCAGCCACGCCGCGUGCAGGAAGACGGCCCUACGGGUUGUAAACUGCUUUUCUAUGGGAAGAAUUCCUACCUAUAUAGGUGGGUUGACGGUACCACAGGAAUAAGCAUCGGCUAACUCCGUGCCAGCAGCCGCGGUAAUACGGAGGAUGCAAGCGUUAUCCGGAUUUAUUGGGUUUAAAGGGUGCGCAGGCGGUGGAACAAGUCAGUGGUGAAAGCCCGGGGCUUAACUUCGGGAUUGCCAUUGAAACUGUUUCACUUGAGUGUAGUUGAGGACGGCGGAAUGAGUUGUGUAGCGGUGAAAUGCAUAGAUAUAACUCAGAACACCAAUUGCGAAGGCAGCUGUCUAGACUACAACUGACGCUGAGGCACGAAAGCGUGGGUAGCGAACAGGAUUAGAUACCCUGGUAGUCCACGCUGUAAACGAUGAUCACUCGUUGUUGGCUACUUAGUAGUCAGUGACUAAGGGAAACCGAUAAGUGAUCCACCUGGGGAGUACGUCGGCAACGAUGAAACUCAAAGGAAUUGACGGGGGCCCGCACAAGCGGAGGAACAUGUGGUUUAAUUCGAUGAUACGCGAGGAACCUUACCUGGGCUUAAAUGCUGGCUGCAUUCACGCGAAAGCGUGAUUUCCUACGGGACCGCCAGCAAGGUGCUGCAUGGUUGUCGUCA
rnacentral:rRNA from 1 species